rnacentral:pre_miRNA from 1 species
GCCGCGGCCAAGAGUAUCAGCGUGGCUUUUUUGUUGGUCAGGGUGUGAAAAAGGCACGCUGAUGCGUCCGCCGCUGCAG